rnacentral:rRNA from 2 species
GGACACAGGUGGUGCAUGGUUGUCGUCAGCUCGUGUCGUGAGAUGUUGGGUUAAGUCCCGCAACGAGCGCAACCCUUGUCUUUAGUUGCCAUCAUUAAGUUGGGCACUCUAAAGAGACUGCCGAUGACAAAUCGGAGGAAGGUGGGGAUGACGUCAAAUCAUCAUGCCCUUUAUGUCCUGGGCUACACGCGUGCUACAAUGGUCGGUACAACGAGAAGCAAGUCAGCGAUGGCAAGCAAAUCUCUAAAAGCCGAUCCCAGUUCGGAUUGCAGGCUGCAACUCGCCUGCAUGAAGUCGGAGUUGCUAGUAAUCGCGGAUCAGAAUGCCGCGGUGAAUGCGUUCCCGGGUCUU